rnacentral:lncRNA from 11 species
AUCUGAUUAUACUGUAGCUAAGGGAUAGCUGUGUCUUUUGUAAUAUGAUUAUUUUUGUAUUGUCAGACAUUAGAUUCACUCCUUUUUUUCAGCUGCAAAGGUCAAUAUGAAGGGAUGUGCCAAUCUCACUCUUGUCCUGGACAACUGGCAAUUUGCUAUUAUGUCUCAGAUAAAGAAUCUUCUACUUUUUGAUCACCAGACUGUAUUGCCUGACUAUGGAAGGAUAAAGCCCCUUUCUGAUGCCCUGGAUGACCUGUACAAGGAAUUCAAUGCCCUCAAAGAGCGGCUUGGAGAACUCACCACACGCUUUGAGGGCGUGGAGUCCUUUGUGGAUGAGAUGAACAAAGGCCAAAGCCAAUCUGCUGCUCAAACCCCCAUCAGGGUCAGCCAACCAGAGGCAGAGAAAGCAACCAUCCCUUUGCCAGCCAAGCGCCGAAGAGUCCUGGUCCAGAACGGGAGGAAGCGCACAGAGCCUCUGAGAGAUGCAACACAAUAGAAACUAUUCCAGAGAGCUCAUGGGGAUACUCCCCCAAUUGUUUUUAGAAGCUGAAUGCAUCUGUCUGUCUUUCCUUGUCUUUUCCCUUAAAACUGUUCCUGAAGGAGGUUACAUCAUAAAAGAUCUAAAUAUGGAGGAAUAGAUAGGAUCCUUUCUUUUGCUAGUGGGCCUGGAGCCACAUUUUGUGUAUUCUGUAGUACUGAAAAAGUACAGUCUGUGGGUGAUGGAAGUCUAGCAGCUUGGUUUUUAGCAAAAAGAAAGCGUUACACAGAAGUUAUUUGAGUCUCAGGGGGGUUGUUUCUUAAAUGAUCUGUGCACUGCUCAGCCUCAUUGGGAAGAUGCAAACCCGCUCUGAACAGUUGUGGCCCACAGCCCACUAUGUACUCUGUCUACCAGUAAUCAAAACUAUCUGGUGGAUCUCAGAAAAUGCAAUGAUAAUAGUUGAAAGAGAACACAAAGAUCAUCCAGUCCAAAUCCCUGCCAUGCAAGAGUGCUCAGUCAAGGCUCUCCUGACAAAUGGCCAUCCAGUCUCUGUGUAAAAACCUCCAGAGAAGGCGGCUCCACCACACUCUGAGGCAACAUAUUUCCCAGUUGAAUGCCUCUUCCCAUCAGGAAAAUCUUCAUAUUGUUGUAGUGGAAUAUUUUCUUGUUUUUAGUCUCUGGAGCACCAUCUUCAACGUAACAUUUAAACAUGGUCAUCAUGGCCCCUCUUAACCUUCUCUUCUCCAUGCUAACCACAUCCAGCCCCCCAAGCUGCUCCCCAGAGAUUGUGGUCUGCAGACCCCUACUGAUCUCUAGACAUGUUCCAGCUUUGUCAGUAUCCUUCUUGAAUACUGGACACAAUAUUCCAGGUGAGGUCUGACCAAGAGGAGUUCCACCUUGGAAGGUGGAUGACUCUCCAUCCUUGGAGAUUCUUAAACAGAGGUUGGAUGAGCGUCUUUCAGAAUUGCUUUAAUUUUUUGCUUUACAAAUUCCCAUAACAGCAAUAAAUUUUGUAGGGAGACAGUACUUACCAGCCCACCCCACCGGAUGAACUGGCUGUGCUCACUAUCUUAAUCACAAGUAACAGCUGUAGUAAGUCGGCUCUGCCCAUGAAUCUGUUCCUUAUAGAUGUAGACUGUUUGAUAAUCUAUACAUUUCAUUCCAAGAAGCAGGAAGGUCAUUGGUCUUCAGCAGGUGGGAAUCUCAUGUAGGAUGCUAAUGCAUAGUUUCUUAUCUUUUAAGACACUAUGUGUAGGAAUUCAUUCAAGCAUUAAUGUAUACAGCCUCUAGCAAUACUUAAUGUACCUGAUGAAUAGCCACAAUUGUUUUCCUUUUAUGCUAGUAGAGGCAAAUGAAGGCAGUCAAUAAACUAUAAAGGAACUGUGCCUGUGGAUAUUGCAAAAGAGACCCGUAAAGAUAGAAGUAUAUGUGUAUGCAUACUAAUCAAUAGUUCAAUUUUCCUAACAUGCAUGUGUCAAGCGCAAGACCUGCAGGCCAAAUCUGCCCGCCACGCCAUUUUCUGUGGCCCGCAAGGCUCCCAAUGCCACAUUUAUAAAGUCUCACAAUUGCAGAUGGCCCUUUGAAGGAAACUGUAAGGCUGAAGUGGCCAUUGGUGAAAGUGGCCUUGACACCCCUGACCUAACAGAAACUGUAGUUGCCAUACAUCCAGACAUAUUAGUGACAAACACAAUAAUACACCAGAGUUAAGUUUUAGCCAUCAGCGGCAGAAAAUCCAUGUUGAGAAGUGUGUUUACACAAUAUUCUGGGGCAGCAAGCCUGUGAGCCGAGGAUUUGAAAAUUGCUGGCAUUUUGCACAUUAGUGACACCUUGAGUUGAAACUGAAGUCAUUUAUUGAAAGUGAUUUGAAUGAAGUAGUUGACUCUCCUGACUUCUAUUUGCGAUGUUUGGGUUUUUAUAAAAAGAAAAAGGACAGUCUCUCUUUCCCCAGUUUCCACCCAGUAUCUUGAAAAAGUAAGGAGGAGUGAGUUGCAACCAAAACACAUCUUCAUUCUUUCCCUGCUUCUUUUGCCAGCCAAAGACCUUUCUUGGAAAUGGGAAAUGUCCAGCCAAAUUGCCACAUGGCCAAAUAUCACAGCUAAUCUUGAGCCAGAGUAUGAGUAAUGGAGUUUUAUAUAAUACUUCCCAUUCCCCUGGGAGCUCAUAGGCAUUUCUUUUUCUGAUACUAUGCAAUGGUUGCUAGUAGACACCAUCUCUUUAGCUGUGUGUUAAAAGGCAGAAAGGGCCACAUGCUGUUCUAAAGUUAUUUUACUGAUGAGUUUACAAUUUGCCACAGCACAUGAGCAUUUUGCAGCGAAAUGACUAACCAGUCUAGCCUUUACACAAACAUAUUAAUACUGCCAAGUGAGCAAAGUCUGAGAAAAUGCAGCAAAAACACUGAUAGAGAUGUCCCCACAAGCACUUCCCAUCUUUAUUUCACUUUAAUGUUUAUAUCAUAGCUUGAAGGACAUAGUAAUCUAUCUUUACUAUAUGGUAACUAUAUGUCUAGAAGUGUCUUAUUUAUGCAUAUACAGCUAUAGUUUAUGGACUUUCUAAAAUUGAUAGGUAGAAACUGAGAAUGAUUCAGUAGUUUUUCCAUAUUUUUCACUCGAUGUAUAUGCUUGUAUAUGUGUGUGUAAACAUUUUCACCAGCAUAUGUCUUUGCCUUUCAUAACAACUUCCACGCAGCUGCCUUGACCUCUACAAAACAACUCUAGUCUACAAGAUUCGCAAAAUCAUCACUAAAGUACCUGUAGUCUGUGCAGUACAUCCUUGCUAUGCAGUUUUGUGAAGAAUAAGUGAAGAUUUUUCUUUCUCCUUUUACAUUUUACCAAGAAGCUGAAAAAGAAAUGACCGGAGUGCAAAGAAAGCUGAGGCAGAUAGUGGGGUGAGGCCAAAUAAGACUGAUUUUAGUGAGCAAGACUAUGCUGUAAGUCAGCCUUUUGCUCACACCUAUAGCCAUCUGAUUUGUGAUUUUUGCCUCUGCUCAUUCUUUAUACACACAGCAUAGUUUUUUUCUCAAAUAUAUCCCUACCCCACUGUAAGCAGCGAUGCCAUCUACUGGUUCUGGAAGCAUGGCAAUGUUUUCCUCCCUUUUACACAAAAGAAUCCAAGAUGCAUACUAUUCUUAGCUGCUGUAUUUGGAACAUGCCUGCUGCAGCUCUGGAAAUGGAAAUACCUCUUGUCAUGAUUUUUAAGCAAAUAUCAUUGAUCAAAAACAUGCAGAAUUACUACAAAGGACUAUCUGAAUUAGCAACCAAAAGCCCCAUGGAAGCAAUAGUGCUCCGUUGUCUGCUUGUCCCUAGCAGCUCGGAUUCAGAAAUAGUCUGUCCCUUGUGAUCCUCUCCCCAUUGGCUCUCCAGCUAUCUCUGGUUUUCCUCAAGAGACCGGCCUAAGCUGAGAGGUAGCCAGCCUUAGGCUUUCUUAAACAUUUCCUCUCCAUCCCAGUCAUCAUUGCUAGGUGGGAUAUGAAACCUGACUCUGAAACCUAUUUGGGGACUCAAUGUAAUCAUUAA